AUCAUUAAUGAGUUUAAAUCUUUAUUCGGUGAUGUACCUAGAAGAACUGAUAUGAUUGUUCAUGAUAUAGAGGUAAAUGAUGCAAAGCCAGUUAAACAACAUCCAUACAGAGUAAACCCAGUUAAGAGAUAGGAUCAUGAGGAGAGAGGUACAGUAUAUGCUUGAUAAUGACGUGAUAGAGCCUAGCACCAGCCCUUGGAGCUCGCCCUGUGUUUUGGUGCCGAAGCCUGGAGGUGAUGGUUACAGGUUUUGCACUGAUUUUAGAAAAGUCAAUGCUUUGAUAAAAAGCGAUUCGUAUCCUAUUCCACGAAUCGAUGAUUGUAUAGAUCAGUUAGGAAAUGCUAGGUUUGACAAAAAAAAAAAAAAUUGCUGAAAGGUUUCUGGCAGGUAGGAUUGACUGAACGAGCUAAGGAAAUUAUAGUAUUUGUUACAAUGGACGGAUUUUUUCAGUACGGGAUCCUUCCGUUCGGGAUGAAGAACAGUUCUAGUUGCUUUCAGAGAUUAUGUCAGUAGUGUAUUAAAGGAUGUAGAGGAAUGUGCGGUUUAUUUUCAUGACAAUUUUGUAUUCUGAGGUUUGGGAGGAACAUCUAGUUUUAUUGAGGAAAGUGUUCCAGAAACUUGACAAUGCAAAUCUCACUGUAAACUCAAUUAAAACUGACUUUGUUAAAGCAUAUGUAGAUUUCACUCCACGACUAUUUAACUGACGUCACCGGUAGUCAACGAGAUGCCCGCGUCGCCAGUUCCACGUCAGUUCGCUGCUAGUCUCCACGCAGUUCACACAACCUGCAGCUGCUGCUCUACACUGUGCACUGUUACUGCCGCUCGUCGAUUAACUUGGCUACUUUUCACCGGCUUUCUCCAAGGAGUCAGCCCGACGAGUUAUGUCGGAUUGGGAUAAGGCCCCGGGAACGCCACGGCGUCCCUCCUCGCCUGCUUCUGGACGGAAACGACGUGAGAGGGACCCUCUGGAAGGCGAUGCCAAGCGUAGGAAGGUCUCCCGAGAUAGUUGCAAUACGCAACCAUCGGCCGCUGGUGCUUCUCAGCAGUCAGUCGCUGGUCCGAGCCACGUCAACGAUACGGCUGUGUCUCAAUCGAGUGAAGGCAACUUGGACCGAUUAUCUACCCUGCUGAGUGCCCUAAUUGACAAAUUAGACAAGCCGACAGCUCCUCCAGUGUCAUCGGGGGCCGAUUGUAGCGGGUUCCUUGACUUUUCCCCUUCUGAUGACGAAACAGCUGAAGCUUCCCCGUGUCUGCCCGAGCUUGAUCCGCUAGACAACCUCGACCGGCUCACCGCCGCACAGCCAACCGGUGAUACUGUGGUUGAUACUGGCUCCCAGAAGGCUCUUGAUAAGGUUGCUGGCCAUCUCCAUGGUGAGGAAGAAACAGGUGACCCUUUAUCUGACCGUCUGGCUGGCAUUCUUAAUGCGAGUCUGCGACGUUGGCCUUCCGUUGACUGCGUGAAGCUCACAUGUGAUAAGAUCAAGCUUCCGGGUAAUGUAUCCAACUUAAAGGUCCAACCGACCAAUCCUGCCAUCACCAAGGCAAUAAGUUUUGGUGGAAAACUGGUUGACACAAGGCUUUCACUUACUAAUAAACUAUUGACAAAGGCACAGGUCCCAGUUGCCCGUUGCAUCAAUGAUAUUGGAGAUAAGAAAGAUAAACCCUUAACCUCCUACCUUGUUGGUCUUAAUAGUAGCCUGAGGCUGAUAUUGGAGAUAAGAAAGAUAAGCCCUUAACCUCCUACCUUGAUGUUCUUAACAGCCUGAGGCUGCUAACUUCCGCUGUUAACUUCAUCAAUCAGCUACGGAAAGAGGUUGCGCAGGCUCACGUGCAUGAUUCUGCCUUGGCAGAGCUCUGUAAUUGGGACUAUGCGGUCGGCAAGGAUGACUUGUUCCCCUUUGAUGUCAUAAAGAAAUGUGAGGAAAUACACAAGUACAGAAAACUUGGGAGGCCCAACUUCCGUCCUUACAAAGCUCCUGGGAGACGGUUUGCUCCACCUCGCGAGUUACCUAGACGACCUUACCCUCAGCAGUCAAGGUCACGUCACCAGGCAAGGCUUUUUUUAGGCCAGAGGCCUCCCCACGGGAGGGGGAUGCCAAGACACAGAACUCCCCAGUGAGACUACCGUCGGUGACUUCCUUGUUAAUGCCUUUGGUUAGUACUCCGAAUAAUUUUUGUGGAGGAAAAAUUUUUGUUGCUAGGUUGCAGUGGUAUUGUCUCUCCUUAGAUAAAUGGAUUCAUGAUGUGGUACAUGGAAAAUUUUUAGUUUUUGUGAAUGUUCCCAUACAGAGGAUUUCACCGGCUCCUCUCAACUUGUCUCUUGCAGAUCAAAAAGCCCUGGAUUCUGCCAUGUUGAUGUUCUUGAGCAUAAAAUAGUAGAAUUAUGUGCCCCAGGG